rnacentral:rRNA from 1 species
AGAGACGAGUCAGAGUUUGAUCCUGGCUCAGGACGAACGGCUGGCGGCGUGCUUCAUACAUGCAAGUCGAACGAGAAUCUGGCUUCGGUCAGAGGAAAGUGGCGGACGGGUGAGUAAUGUGUAGAGAAUCCGCCCUUUAGUGGGGGACAACAGUUGGAAACGACUGCUAAUACCCCAUAUGCGCGUAGCUGAGAUGCUAUUCGUGAAAACUCCGGUGCUAAAGGAUGAGUCUGCAUCUGAUUAGCUAGUUGGCGGUGUAAUGGACCACCAAGGCGACGAUCAGUAGCUGGUUUGAGAGGAUGAUCAGCCACAAUGGGACUGAGACACGGCCCAU